GAGGAUCCAAGCGUUAUCCGGAAUCAUUGGGUUUAAAGGGUCCGUAGGCGGCCUUGUAAGUCAGUGGUGAAAUCUCCCGGCUCAACCGGGAAACUGCCAUUGAUACUGCAGGGCUUGAAUAAUCGGGAAGUAACUAGAAUAUGUAGUGUAGCGGUGAAAUGCUUAGAUAUUACAUGGAAUACCAAUUGCGAAGGCAGGUUACUACCGGUUUAUUGACGCUGAUGGACGAAAGCGUGGGGAGCGAACAGGAUUAGAUACCCUGGUAGUCCACGCCGUAAACGAUGGAUACUAGCUGUUGGGAGCAAUUUCAGUGGCUAAGCGAAAGUGAUAAGUAUCCCACCUGGGGAGUACGUUCGCAAGAAUG
rnacentral:rRNA from 1 species